GUUUCAGUGUUGCGCUAUGGAAAAUUGUUAGGGGGGAUACACAGCGAUAAACGUAAUAGAUUCAAACAAUAAGGCUGAACCGGGAACUUGGUGGACUGACCGUUCACCGAGGACCGGGUCUGAGUGGCGCCGGUCCCGAAAUAGAUCAGACUCCUUUGGCACGGGAGGGAAACAUGGGAUAAACACACCUUGUAAUGCACACCUGCCUAAGUACAAUGGGACACUGACACGCCUGAUGGGAUGUUACUGUUGACACCGAGGCUGCUGGCUCCUGUCACCCAUUCUAAUAACCCCAGUGAAGGGAGGCCUCCUGCUGCUUACCUGCCGGAGGGACCGGAGAUAAAGUGCUUCCUCGCCUCUCAGAGCUUCUGAGGACCAGGUUUGUCUACCCGGCUUGGACCAGGAGCGGGACUGGAUGCCUGAGGCAGACCCAGGAGAGGACACAGUAUCCUAUUGUGCAUUACAAAGAAGUCUACAGGGAGCUGCAGAGAUCUAUUUUUCCACAGUAUGAAUCAUAGACAGUUUUUGUUGGGGUUCAUCUCUGGUGCCAGUCUGCUGCCAUGCCCUUUCUUACAUUGCCAUCUUGGUUAUCUGAUGCACCUCUGAUGUAAGGAAUUAAGCUGCUGUGUCCUUCUUAGAAAGAGUUUUUGGUUCCUCUUAUGGCUUUUUACUCUCUUUGGGAAGAGAUAUACUUCCAGAUCUUUGGAAAUAUCUCAAAUGUAUCAUUGUAUAGACCCAAAUAUGCUAUGUUUAUGUAGUCAGUAAAAUAUAGUUUACGCAAUUAUUUCACUUCACACUGUGUGUGACAAAAUAAGCGAGUGUUCUUUUCCCCAUUAAAUAACCAAAAGUUGAAACGACAUUUUGUUAAACAUUCUUUUAUUCAAUUUCCACCAAACCUAAACUUGAGAGCAGUGUUUCAAACAAACUGCAGAGGUUUACAUAGGCCAAAUGGAUUUUAGUGUGUGUCUAAGAAAUCAGUUCUUCCUAUCAAAUAUCCACGGGAAGAACAAAUAUAUGCCCUAAAGAGUUGGAAUUGUAUUACCUAUGUAUGCAGCCAGAAGGAAAACAAACAGCUUAUUCAAAUGGCUGCCUGGGAAGUGUAGCUUUUCUGUUGUCCGGGGUAACAGGCAUCAUCUUUACAAGGCAGUGGGUACUGCAUUAAGCAGUUUGGCAAGACACUGGAAAUCUGUCCAUUGGAAAAUUAAAUGAUUACACUUGCAUGUA